GUUAAGAGAAUGUUCCGGUCAUGCUUCUUUGACUGGGCUUUGUGUGCAUCAUCCUCCAUAGAACCCAGAGACAAGCUUUCAGAGGCUGUCAUAAUUCAAUUAGCCACUGGGAUGUCAUCUAGAUUGAUACGCUGAUUUAUAUAGAGUGGGAGGUAAUGAAAAGUGUAAGGUGACGGUAAUGCAAUUAUGUCUGACUGACUAUUCAGGGCUUGGCAUCUUAUUUAUGCUUCAAUUCAGAUUUUUGGUUGAUGUAUCACACAUAGCUGUUUUAAAGAUGAUAUUUUCAUUCACUCCUGAUGUCAGACUUUCUUCUGUCCAGCCAGCUUUGCCAUAAAAGAGGCUUUACCUUUGUGUAUCGUCAUUGGGUGUUACAGUAAACCCCUGCUCUGUUGCAACGUGUGUGUGUAUCCUGUCCUGCUGUCCUCCAGGUGUGUAUCUGUCACCAGCGCAGCUUCAACACGGCCGUGAGGGCCACCCUCAGCUCUGGCACAGACAGGGAGUGGAUGGUGAGGACCCACCAGUGCCCACACACCAGCUCAGAGAUGUGUCUCCCACAACACAGUCCCUGUGUGGGGACGUCGUGACGGUGCUACUGUCUUCUGUGAGAAGCUGGAGGGGGUUGACCAGUAAGAAUGAUUCUUUAUUCAGAGUUAAGGGCUUGUAAGUAAGCAUUUCACUGUAAAGUCAACACUUGUUGUAUUUGGCGCAUGUGGCAAAUAAAGUUAGAUUUUCUACUA